GGCCUCGGCCCGAGUUGUAAUUUGCAGAGGAUGCUUCUGGCGCGGUGCCUUCCGAGUUCCCUGGAACGGGACGCCACAGAGGGUGAGAGCCCCGUAUGGUCGGACACCAAGCCUGUGUGAAGCUCCUUCGACGAGUCGAGUAGUUUGGGAAUGCUGCUCUAAAUGGGAGGUAAAUCUCUUCUAAAGCUAAAUACCGGCCAGAGACCGAUAGCGCACAAGUAGAGUGAUCGAAAGAUGAAAAGCACCUUGAAAAGGGGGUUAAAUAGUACGUGAAAUUGUUGAAAGGGAAGCACUUGUGACCAGACUUGGGCCGGGCGGCUCAUCAGGGGUUCUCCCCUGUGCACUCCGCCCGGCACAGGCCAGCAUCGGUUCUCGUGGGGGGAUAAGACCGUCAGGAACGUAGCACCCUCCGGGGUGUGUUAUAGCCUGGCGGACGAUACCCCCGUGGGGACCGAGGUUCGCGCUCCGCAAGGAUGCUGGCGUAAUGGUCACCAGUGACCCGUCUUGAAACACGGACCAAGGAGUCGUCCAUUAGAGCGAGCGUUUGGGUGUAAAACCCGCACGCGUAAUGAAAGUGAACGCAGGUGAGAGCUUCGGCGCAUCAUCGACCGAUCCUGAUGUUCUCGGAAGGAUUUGAGUAAGAGUUUUAACGGACGGACCCGAAAGACAGUGAACUAUGCUUGUAUAGGGUGAAGCCAGAGGAAACUCUGGUGGAGGCUCGCAGCGGUUCUGACGUGCAAAUCGAUCGUCAAAUAUGAGCAUGGGGGCGAAAGACUAAUCGAACUGUCUAGUAGCUGGUUACCGCCGAAGUUUCCCUCACGAUAGCAGUGUUGAUCUUCAGUUUUAUGAGGUAAAGCGAAUGAUUAGGGACUCGGGGGCGCUAUAUAGCCUUCAUCCAUUCUCAAACUUUAAAUAUGUAAGAAGCCCUUGUUACUUAGUUGAACGUGGGCAUUCGAAUGUACCAACACUAGUGGGCCAUUUUUGGUAAGCAGAACUGGCGAUGCGGGAUGAACCGAACGCGGGGUUAAGGCGCCAGAGUGUACGCUCAUCAGACACCACAAAAGGCGUUAGUACAUCUUGACAGCAGGACGG
rnacentral:rRNA from 1 species